UCCUUUGUUUUAGCUGGAUUGAGUUGCA
rnacentral:piRNA from 1 species